UCUCCUUGGCAAUUGGCAAAGUGACACCUUAUUUGUGGUGGUGUUCUUAUGUCAGUCGGGGGCAGAGCAGAUGGCAGUCCUUUGUUCAUCCUAGCUUGAUGCCUGCCUUGGUAGCCAAAGCUGUCUUAUGCCUAGGAUACACCU